UGGAUUGGACUCUGGAAACUGAAGCUUCCUAUUUACUACAGAACAGGUAGAGCAUAUACAGUGUAAGCUUCCUUCACUCCCCUAUCUAUGUGUUUCAAAUGUGACCUGGAAAGACCACUGUAUGAACUGAGAGAAUAGCUCAGUCUCUCUCACCCAUUCCGUUCUUACGUUUCU
rnacentral:sRNA from 1 species